rnacentral:rRNA from 1 species
GCCAGCAGCCAUAUCACCCUGUAGCCCAAGACUGGUUGCCCACUGAAGUUAAGCAGGGCUGAGCCUGGUCAAUACCUGGAUGGGAGACCUCCUGAGAAAAACUAGGUUGCUGCUGGAG